AUGAACGCUGGCGGCGUGCCUAAUACCUGCAAGUCGAGCGAGCAGACGAGGAGCUUGCUCCUCUGACGUUAGCGGCGGACGGGUGAGUAACACGCGGAUAACCUACCUAUAAGACUGGGAUAACUUCGGGAAACCGGAGCUAAUACCGGAUAAUAUAUUGAACCGCAUGGUUCAAUAGUGAAAGACGGUUUUGCUGUCACUUAUAGAUGGAUCCGCGCCGCAUUAGCUAGUUGGUAAGGUAACGGCUUACCAAGGCGACGAUGCGUAGCCGACCUGAGAGGGUGAUCGGCCACACUGGAACUGAGACACGGUCCAGACUCCUACGGGAGGCAGCAGUAGGGAAUCUUCCGCAAUGGGCGAAAGCCUGACGGAGCAACGCCGCGUGAGUGAUGAAGGUCUUCGGAUCGUAAAACUCUGUUAUUAGGGAAGAACAAAUGUGUAAGUAACUAUGCACGUCUUGACGGUACCUAAUCAGAAAGCCACGGCUAACUACGUG
rnacentral:rRNA from 1 species